GCCAAUGCAAAUGCAUAAAUUGAUGAAUGUCGAAUAAAAACUGCUGCAUUGGUGUCGGUAAACUUCAAAUCUGAAGUUUUGACCUACAGUAAAUCUUCCAUUUCCUUCAAAGUUGAAGGUGCACUGCACAUUCAUCUUUCACUUAUUUUAUUUCUCAUUUAAUGCCCAACCGCUGGUUUCAUUUUCCCUCUCUCUUCCCUCUCUCCUUUUUCCUCCCCGCGUUUUCUCUCCCCCGUGCCUCUCUUUUUCAUUUCUCUCCAUCGACGGAAACGAAAUCACUCGGAUUCUUCACGCAGAACCGAUUUCAUCAAAGAAGAAGGGUGUGUAUCUCUCAGAUUUUCACGCGAGCUUCAUCUCCUUUCCAACCCCAGAAACAUCUUCGCAUACUCUGGGUUGGCUCAAAUCAGAUUCGCGGCUUCAGGUGCUUCCAGUCUUUCCUUCGGCUCAAGCCCCUACACUGAUUCUGGUAUUGUUAGAAAAUUUUGUUGUUACUCUGUCUCGCCUCUGCUUCUCUCGUCUUUUGUCCGUUUCCAUUUCCGUUUCCUUUCCUGUUUUCCUAAUUUUCUGUAUCGCAAUCUCCGUAAAUUGUAAUCACCUUUUUAGAUUCUAAACCCCCUUACUUAAUUAACCCGGUUUCUCGUUUGUUUCUCGGGAAAAUCUUUUUCUGGACCUCUAUUUUUCUUUUGCUGCUUCUCUUUCCGGUUGUGCUGUUGUUGCAUUCUGUUUUGUCCUUUCGGAAGGCUCUGGUCCUACCCCUAUCUACCAUUCCUCCAGCUCCUGUUGCUAGAUUUUUCCAAAUUUAGGAGGAAUUCAUAGAGUACUCUUGCACUUGGUGGCUGCUUUAUAGAGUACUCUUGCACUUGGUGGCACCAACUAAAGUCAUUACAAAUGAAAAGGUUAUGAGAAACAAUUUGCUCAACUUCAAAGACCUGGAUAAUUUGAAGCUUGCAGAGGGUUUGGCUAAAAUAUGUUUUGAGAUGCAUUUGUAGAAGUCACAAGCUUUUGUAAACUAGAUUAUUAAUUCAAGGAGGCAUUUCAUCUUGGGAGUGCUUUUGUUGAUACUCCCUUACGUGCUUACUUUCUUAGCUAGGCCCUUAAAAUCCUUGUGAGAUUUGAUUACACUUGCAAUUUUAUUGGAAGUGAUAUUGUAGAGUAAUUUGGGUGGUUUAGCCA